AGACGAGCGAGACAUGCGAGCAGAUACAGGAACUGCACAUGUACAAGAUGGAGGAGACAUCGCGGCUCGCCCGGACAACGUACACGACCCACUGCCCGUAGCAACCGACGAACAGAUAGUUACAUAUGUGUUGUAAUAUCAGAUGGAGGAGCCAUGGAGCCCUCACAUGCGGCCCCGAGCAACGAUGCCG